GCCAGCUCACUUUAAGAGCAGCUUUGUGAAAAACAACCCCAGUGCGCACGCGCACGCCGCGGCUGCUGUCCGCCCUCCCUGCGCGUCCCCUCCCGCGCCCGGCUCGCUCCCUCGCUCGCUCGCGGGUACAGUAGGUGUACAGCUAAGGGAAGAAGAUACUGGGGCUGUCGGGAGGCUGAACCUGACAUCUCUUCAUUGUGGGCUCCUAUUGAAUACAACAAUGAUGUUGGUGUGAAGACUGAAGACAAAAUUUGCUAUAUUAUUAGCAAAAUAAUGAUCACUCCAAAUGAAAUGAAGUGUUGGAGACAGCAGUGGCCAGUAGUUAGAGCAAUAGUUAGAGGACAAAGCCAAUUAAGGGAACUGUCGAAAAAUCAUGAAAACAUUGAUUGAAAAAACUACAAUAUUUGCUGUGGAGAAACAGAAGUUUGUGGAUUUAUGAAUGGAAAUGAGAUAUAGCGUUCUGGAUUCUUACAAGAUAGCAGAAAGUAUGAGCAAUGAUGCACUGUUCCCCUGUGCAGGCUCUGCCGUCCACACUGUGCCCCUCUACAUGAACAAAUCCUCAUCUUCCUCAGGCUUGGCCUCUCUACACCAGACUGAUCUCUGUGUGGGGACAUCUUUACCAUGUAUCAGAGAGAUGGAGACAGACUGUAAGCAGGGGAG